CGCAGCUGAUGCAGCCAUGCCGCGUGAGUGAUGAAGGCCUUCGGGUUGUAAAGCUCUUUCGCGGGGAAGAAAAUGACGGGACCCAUAGAACAAGCCCCGGACCGUUCCCUGCCAGCAACCCCCGGAAAACUACGGGGCCUCGCGUUGUGCAAAAUUUCUGGGGGUAAAGCGAAUUUAAGUGGUUGGGCGAGUCGGGGGGGAAAGCCGUUUGCUCAACCCGAAAACAAACCCCCAGACUGAACCUCGGAAAUGCAGUAGAGACUAGUGGAAUUCCGAGUGGAAAAGGGAAAUGGAAUUACAUUCGGAAGAACGCAAAGGGCAAAGGCGGCGAACAGCUCCCGUAGUGAAGCUGAGCCCCUGGGACAUGGGGAGCACACAGGAAUAAAUACCC
rnacentral:rRNA from 1 species